UGGGGAAUAUUGGACAAUGGGGGGCAACCCUGAUCCAGCAAUGCCGCGUGUGUGAAGAAGGUCUUCGGAUUGUAAAGCACUUUCGACGGGGACGAUGAUGACGGUACCCGUAGAAGAAGCCCCGGCUAACUUCGUGCCAGCAGCCGCGGUAAUACGAAGGGGGCUAGCGUUGCUCGGAAUGACUGGGCGUAAAGGGCGUGUAGGCGGUUUACACAGUCAGAUGUGAAAUCCCCGGGCUUAACCUGGGAGCUGCAUUUGAUACGUGUAGACUAGAGUGUGAGAGAGGGUUGUGGAAUUCCCAGUGUAGAGGUGAAAUUCGUAGAUAUUGGGAAGAACACCGGUGGCG
rnacentral:rRNA from 1 species